UACGUAGGGUGCAAGCGUUGUCCGGAAUUAUUGGGCGUAAAGAGCUCGUAGGCGGUCUGUCGCGUCGGCUGUGAAAACCCGGGGCUCAACCCCGGGCCUGCAGUCGAUACGGGCAGACUAGAGUGUGGUAGGGGAGACUGGAAUUCCUGGUGUAGCGGUGAAAUGCGCAGAUAUCAGGAGGAACACCGGUGGCGAAGGCGGGUCUCUGGGCCGAAACUGACGCUGAGGAGCGAAAGCGUGGGGAGCAAACAGG
rnacentral:rRNA from 1 species